rnacentral:rRNA from 1 species
AAUCAACCGAGAUUCCCCCAGUAGCGGCGAGCGAACGGGGAGGAGCCCAGAGCCUGAAUCAGCAUGUGUGUUAGUGGAAGCGUCUGGAAAGGCGCGCGAUACAGGGUGACAGCCCCGUACACAAAAGCGCAUGUGCUGUGAGCUCGAUGAGUAGGGCGGGACACGUGGUAUCCUGUCUGAAUAUGGGGGGACCAUCCUCCAAGGCUAAAUACUCCUGACUGACCGAUAGUGAACCAGUACCGUGAGGGAAAGGCGAAAAGAACCCCGGCGAGGGGAGUGAAAAAGAACCUGAAACCGUGUACGUACAAGCAGUGGGAGCACCCUUUGGGGUGUGACUGCGUACCUUUUGUAUAAUGGGUCAGCGACUUAUAUUCUGUAGCAAGGUUAACCGUAUAGGGGAGCCGGAGGGAAACCGAGUCUUAACCGGGCGUUAAGUUGCAGGGUAUAGACCCGAAACCCGGUGAUCUAGCCAUGGGCAGGUUGAAGGUUGGGUAACACUAACUGGAGGACCGAACCGACUAAUGUUGAAAAAUUAGCGGAUGACCUGUGGCUGGGGGUGAAAGGCCAAUCAAACCGGGAGAUAGCUGGUUCUCCCCGAAAGCUAUUUAGGUAGCGCCUCGUGAAUUCAUCUCCGGGGGUAGAGCACUGUUUCGGCUAGGGGGCCAUCCCGGCUUACCAACCCGAUGCAAACUGCGAAUACCGGAGAAUGUUAUCACGGGAGACACACGGCGGGUGCUAACGUCCGUCGUGAAGAGGGAAACAACCCAGACCGCCAGCUAAGGUCCCAAAGUCAUGGUUAAGUGGGAAACGAUGUGGGAAGGCCCAGACAGCCAGGAUGUUGGCUUAGAAGCAGCCAUCAUUUAAAGAAAGCGUAAUAGCUCACUGGUCGAGUCGGCCUGCGCGGAAGAUGUAACGGGGCUAAACCAUGCACCGAAGCUGCGGCAGCGACACUCAGGUGUUGUUGGGUAGGGGAGCGUUCUGUAAGCCUGCGAAGGUGUGUCGUGAGGCAUGCUGGAGGUAUCAGAAGUGCGAAUGCUGACAUAAGUAACGAUAAAGCGGGUGAAAAGCCCGCUCGCCGGAAGACCAAGGGUUCCUGUCCAACGUUAAUCGGGGCAGGGUGAGUCGACCCCUAAGGCGAGGCCGAAAGGCGUAGUCGAUGGGAAACGGGUUAAUAUUCCCGUACUUGGUGUUACUGCGAAGGGGGGACGGAGAAGGCUAUGUUGGCCGGGCGACGGUUGUCCCGGUUUAAGCGUGUAGGUGUGUGUUCCAGGUAAAUCCGGUUCACUUUAACACUGAGGCGUGACGACGAGGCACUACGGUGCUGAAGCAACAAAUGCCCUGCUUCCAGGAAAAGCCUCUAAGCAUCAGGUAACAUCAAAUCGUACCCCAAACCGACACAGGUGGUCAGGUAGAGAAUACCAAGGCGCUUGAGAGAACUCGGGUGAAGGAACUAGGCAAAAUGGUGCCGUAACUUCGGGAGAAGGCACGCUGACACGUAGGUGAAGUGAUUUACUCACGGAGCUGAAGUCAGUCGAAGAUACCAGCUGGCUGCAACUGUUUAUUAAAAACACAGCACUGUGCAAACACGAAAGUGGACGUAUACGGUGUGACGCCUGCCCGGUGCCGGAAGGUUAAUUGAUGGGGUCAGCGCAAGCGAAGCUCCUGAUCGAAGCCCCGGUAAACGGCGGCCGUAACUAUAACGGUCCUAAGGUAGCGAAAUUCCUUGUCGGGUAAGUUCCGACCUGCACGAAUGGCGUAAUGAUGGCCAGGCUGUCUCCACCCGAGACUCAGUGAAAUUGAACUCGCUGUGAAGAUGCAGUGUACCCGCGGCAAGACGGAAAGACCCCGUGAACCUUUACUAUAGCUUGACACUGAACAUUGAGCCUUGAUGUGUAGGAUAGGUGGGAGGCUUUGAAGUGUGG